AUGAACAUCACUCAGAUCUGUAGCUCUAAUUCGAAAUUACAAGCAGGGAGAAAGGAGGAAGAGAGUUACAAGCAAACGGCGGACUGCCGUGCCAAACUGGCCGCCCUCACAAGGAAGCUGUCCUCCUUAUUUAUCCUACCUCGUGGUCCAUUCCUUGCCAGCGUAGCACGUGGAUGGGCGCCUGACCCUCCUGUGGGCCCCGACGUCAGUGGAAGACCUUGGCUUGUUGACUGGGUCUUGGCUGCCCUGGCCGUCAUCCUCUGUAACCGGCUCGGUGAUGCUAACAUUCCCUCUCCCUUGGAACACAGCUUGCCCCCAAGUUGUUGCACGAGGAAAACGCUGCUGCAGUUCCUAUAA
rnacentral:rRNA from 1 species